ACCAACCCGCACCACAAAAUGCGGUUUUUAAUUUUCGUGGUGCGGUUGCGGUUUGAAUUUUUCACAAACCGCGCGGUGCGGGGCGGGUUGCGGUUUGACAUAUUAGUAGUGUGGUUUAAACCGCACCGCACCGCAAAACUAUAAUAUACAUAUAUAUAUAUACAUAGAGGGCUACUCUAAUGAGAACUUUAAGUGGUGAGAACUAGAUACCAGGCUUAAAACAAAAAUAGAUACUGGGCUUAAAAUUAGGACAAGGCCCAAUAACAUAAACAUCCUGGACAUCGACGGUUUUUAAAAAUUAAAAUCAGUAUCAAACGUAACCAUACACCGUUACCCACUCAAACUCUCACUAGCAAAUCACCCCCAAAUCACAAAAAUCUCUCAACUACGCUGCUCAAUCGCCGUGUUUUGCUGUUGAACGCUCCUCAACGCUGCUCAAUUUGUUCUUAUUUCGUGCUUGGACGAAACUCGAGCACUAAAAAACCGGUGCAUUUUAGUAUCCCGAGAACUUAUGUAUCAGAGCUUGUGUAUAAUGCCUCUGGAUUGAUUGAGUGCUUCUUACCAUGGUUGAUAGGUUUCACUAAGUGAAGGGGAAGCAAGGUCUUUCCUGUGUAAUAUGCAUAUGGAAGGAUCCAGUAGAAGGCAAAGCAAAAGAUUAAAAAAAAACAUAUCUCGAGCACUAAAAAAUUGGUUUCACUAAGUGAAAGGGAAGCAAGGUCUUUCCUGUAUAAAUUUGCAUAUGGCAGAUGGGAUAGAGAGCACAACUUCAAUGAUUAAGGGUGAAAUACUCAAAUGCAAUCCUUACACCUCACUUGAAUGAAUACAAAGAGAUUGAACCAAAGCGGGCAAAAGGCUUCUACAAAAAGAUUGCAAACAAGACACUCAUGUCCAUUGUACUUGCAUCAAGUUCAAAGAAACCCAAGAACACAGAGAUUCAUGGAAAUGUUAUAUUUUCAGACAUUGAAACAGAACAUGAAGAAGCAUGAUGAAGUACCGGCUGCUAGAAAGUUUAAUGUAUAGAAUUCUAUUUGUCAUAAAAACAUAUAUCACUUGUAUUCUACAUUUGAAUUUCAGUCAUUACUAGUGUUUUAAGGAACUUAUUGUA